rnacentral:tRNA from 1 species
GUCUGUAUAACUAAAUUAAGUGCUAAGUUCUUACCUUAGUAAUGUGUUCUACACUACAGUCU